CAAACGGCCCUUUUCAGGGCCACCAAACUCUUAGAAAAGAUACCAAU
rfam:Crassostrea gigas strain 05x7-T-G4-1.051#20 contig7609, whole genome shotgun sequence.